rnacentral:rRNA from 1 species
AUAGGGUCAAGUGAAUAAGUGCAUCAGGCGGAUGCCUUGGCGAUGAUAGGCGACGAAGGACGUGUAAGCCUGCGAAAAGCGCGGGGGAGCUGGCAAUAAAGCUAUGAUUCCGCGAUGUCCGAAUGGGGAAACCCACUGCAUUCUGUGCAGUAUCCUAAGUUGAAUACAUAGGCUUAGAGAAGCGAACCCGGAGAACUGAACCAUCUAAGUACCCGGAGGAAAAGAAAUCAACCGAGAUUCCGCAAGUAGUGGCGAGCGAACGCGGAGGAGCCUGUACGUAAUAACUGUCGAGAUAGAAGAACAAGCUGGGAAGCUUGACCAUAGCGGGUGACAGUCCCGUAUUCGAAAUCUCAACAGCGGUACUAAGCGUACGAAAAGUAGGGCGGGACACGUGAAAUCCUGUCUGAAUAUGGGGGGACCAUCCUCCAAGGCUAAAUACUCAUCAUCGACCGAUAGUGAACCAGUACCGUGAGGGAAAGGCGAAAAGAACCCCGGGAGGGGAGUGAAACAGAACCUGAAACCUGAUGCAUACAAACAGUGGGAGCGCCCUAGUGGUGUGACUGCGUACCUUUUGUAUAAUGGGUCAACGACUUACAUUCAGUAGCGAGCUUAACCGGAUAGGGGAGGCGUAGGGAAACCGAGUCUUAAUAGGGCGAUGAGUUGCUGGGUGUAGACCCGAAACCGAGUGAUCUAUCCAUGGCCAGGUUGAAGGUGCCGUAACAGGUACUGGAGGACCGAACCCACGCAUGUUGCAAAAUGCGGGGAUGAGCUGUGGGUAGGGGUGAAAGGCUAAACAAACUCGGAGAUAGCUGGUUCUCCCCGAAAACUAUUUAGGUAGUGCCUCGAGCAAGACACUGAUGGGGGUAAAGCACUGUUAUGGCUAGGGGGUUAUUGCAACUUACCAACCCAUGGCAAACUCAGAAUACCAUCAAGUGGUUCCUCGGGAGACAGACAGCGGGUGCUAACGUCCGUUGUCAAGAGGGAAACAACCCAGACCGCCGGCUAAGGUCUCAAAUGAUAGAUUAAGUGGUAAACGAAGUGGGAAGGCACAGACAGCCAGGAUGUUGGCUUAGAAGCAGCCAUCAUUUAAAGAAAGCGUAAUAGCUCACUGGUCGAGUCGUCCUGCGCGGAAGAUGUAACGGGGCUCAAAUCUAUAACCGAAGCUGCGGAUGCCGGUUUACCGGCAUGGUAGGGGAGCGUUCUGUAGGCUGAUGAAGGUGCAUUGUAAAGUGUGCUGGAGGUAUCAGAAGUGCGAAUGUUGACAUGAGUAGCGAUAAAGCGGGUGAAAAGCCCGCUCGCCGAAAGCCCAAGGUUUCCUACGCAACGUUCAUCGGCGUAGGGUGAGUCGGCCCCUAAGGCGAGGCAGAAAUGCGUAGUCGAUGGGAAACAGGUUAAUAUUCCUGUACUUGAUUCAAAUGCGAUGUGGGGACGGAGAAGGUUAGGUUGGCAAGCUGUUGGAAUAGCUUGUUUAAGCCGGUAGGUGGAAGACUUAGGCAAAUCCGGGUUUUCUUAACACCGAGAAGUGAUGACGAGUGUCUACGGACACGAAGCAACCGAUACCACGCUUCCAGGAAAAGCCACUAAGCUUCAGUUUGAAUCGAACCGUACCGCAAACCGACACAGGUGGGCAGGAUGAGAAUUCUAAGGCGCUUGAGAGAACUCGGGAGAAGGAACUCGGCAAAUUGAUACCGUAACUUCGGGAGAAGGUAUGCCCUCUAAGGUUAAGGACUUGCUCCGUAAGCCCCGGAGGGUCGCAGAGAAUAGGUGGCUGCGACUGUUUAUUAAAAACACAGCACUCUGCCAACACGAAAGUGGACGUAUAGGGUGUGACGCCUGCCCGGUGCCGGAAGGUUAAUUGAAGAUGUGCAAGCAUCGGAUCGAAGCCCCGGUAAACGGCGGCCGUAACUAUAACGGUCCUAAGGUAGCGAAAUUCCUUGUCGGGUAAGUUCCGACCCGCACGAAUGGCGUAACGAUGGCCACACUGUCUCCUCCCGAGACUCAGCGAAGUUGAAGUGGUUGUGAAGAUGCAAUCUACCCGCUGCUAGACGGAAAGACCCCGUGAACCUUUACUGUAGCUUUGCAUUGGACUUUGAAGUCACUUGUGUAGGAUAGGUGGGAGGCUUGGAAGCAGAGACGCCAGUCUCUGUGGAGUCGUCCUUGAAAUACCACCCUGGUGUCUUUGAGGUUCUAACCCAGACCCGUCAUCCGGGUCGGGGACCGUGCAUGGUAGGCAGUUUGACUGGGGCGGUCUCCUCCCAAAGCGUAACGGAGGAGUUCGAAGGUUACCUAGGUCCGGUCGGAAAUCGGACUGAUAGUGCAAUGGCAAAAGGUAGCUUAACUGCGAGACCGACAAGUCGGGCAGGUGCGAAAGCAGGACAUAGUGAUCCGGUGGUUCUGUAUGGAAGGGCCAUCGCUCAACGGAUAAAAGGUACUCCGGGGAUAACAGGCUGAUUCCGCCCAAGAGUUCAUAUCGACGGCGGAGUUUGGCACCUCGAUGUCGGCUCAUCACAUCCUGGGGCUGUAGUCGGUCCCAAGGGUAUGGCUGUUCGCCAUUUAAAGUGGUACGUGAGCUGGGUUUAAAACGUCGUGAGACAGUUUGGUCCCUAUCUGCAGUGGGCGUUGGAAGUUUGACGGGGGCUGCUCCUAGUACGAGAGGACCGGAGUGGACGAACCUCUGGUGUACCGGUUGUAACGCCAGUUGCAUAGCCGGGUAGCUAAGUUCGGAAGAGAUAAGCGCUGAAAGCAUCUAAGCGCGAAACUCGCCUGAAGAUGAGACUUCCCUUGCGGUUUAACCGCACUAAAGGGUCGUUCGAGACCAGGACGUUGAUAGGUGGGGUGUGGAAGCGCGGUAACGCGUGAAGCUAACCCAUACUAAUUGCCCGUGAGGCUUGACUCUAU